UGAGGCAUGAGAACUGCUUGAACCCAGGAAGUGGAGGUUGCAGUGAGCCAAGAUCGUGCCACUGUACUCCAGCCUGGGUGACACAGCAAGACUC
rnacentral:miRNA from 1 species